GAGUUAUCUGAACCUUCGGGGAACGAUAACGGCGUCGAGCGGCGGACGGGUGAGUAAUGCCUAGGAAAUUGCCCUGAUGUGGGGGAUAACCAUUGGAAACGAUGGCUAAUACCGCAUGAUGCCUACGGGCCAAAGAGGGGGACCUUCGGGCCUCUCGCGUCAGGAUAUGCCUAGGUGGGAUUAGCUAGUUGGUGAGGUAAGGGCUCACCAAGGCGACGAUCCCUAGCUGGUCUGAGAGGAUGAUCAGCCACACUGGAACUGAGACACGGUCCAGACUCCUACGGGAGGCAGCAGUGGGGAAUAUUGCACAAUGGGCGCAAGCCUGAUGCAGCCAUGCCGCGUGUGUGAAGAAGGCCUUCGGGUUGUAAAGCACUUUCAGUCGUGAGGAAGGUAGUGUAGUUAAUAGCUGCAUUAUUUGACGUUAGCGACAGAAGAAGCACCGGCUAACUCCGUGCCAGCAGCCGCGGUAAUACGGAGGGUGCGAGCGUUAAUCGGAAUUACUGGGCGUAAAGCGCAUGCAGGUGGUUUGUUAAGUCAGAUGUGAAAGCCCGGGGCUCAACCUCGGAAUAGCAUUUGAAACUGGCAGACUAGAGUACUGUAGAGGGGGGUAGAAUUUCAGGUGUAGCGGUGAAAUGCGUAGAGAUCUGAAGGAAUACCGGUGGCGAAGGCGGCCCCCUGGACAGAUACUGACACUCAGAUGCGAAAGCGUGGGGAGCAAACAGGAUUAGAUACCCUGGUAGUCCACGCCGUAAACGAUGUCUACUUGGAGGUUGUGGCCUUGAGCCGUGGCUUUCGGAGCUAACGCGUUAAGUAGACCGCCUGGGGAGUACGGUCGCAAGAUUAAAACUCAAAUGAAUUGACGGGGGCCCGCACAAGCGGUGGAGCAUGUGGUUUAAUUCGAUGCAACGCGAAGAACCUUACCUACUCUUGACAUCCAGAGAACUUUCCAGAGAUGGAUUGGUGCCUUCGGGAACUCUGAGACAGGUGCUGCAUGGCUGUCGUCAGCUCGUGUUGUGAAAUGUUGGGUUAAGUCCCGCAACGAGCGCAACCCUUAUCCUUGUUUGCCAGCGAGUAAUGUCGGGAACUCCAGGGAGACUGCCGGUGAUAAACCGGAGGAAGGUGGGGACGACGUCAAGUCAUCAUGGCCCUUACGAGUAGGGCUACACACGUGCUACAAUGGCGCAUACAGAGGGCGGCCAACUUGCGAAAGUGAGCGAAUCCCAAAAAGUGCGUCGUAGUCCGGAUUGGAGUCUGCAACUCGACUCCAUGAAGUCGGAAUCGCUAGUAAUCGUGGAUCAGAAUGCCACGGUGAAUACGUUCCCGGGCCUUGUACACACCGCCCGUCACACCAUGGGAGUGGGCUGCAAAAGAAGUAGGUAG
rnacentral:rRNA from 1 species